CACGCCGUAAACUAUGAUUACUCGCUGUUUGCGAUACACCGUAAGCGGCUUAGCGAAAGCGUUAAGUAAUCCACCUGGGGAGUACGUUCGCAAGAAUGAAACUCAAAGGAAUUGACGGGGGCCCGCACAAGCGGAGGAACAUGUGGUUUAAUUCGAUGAUACGCGAGGAACCUUACCCGGGCUUGAAAUGCAUCUGACAGGAGCAGAGACGCUCUCUCCCUUCGGGGCAGAUGUGUAGGUGC
rnacentral:rRNA from 1 species